UGGGGUUAUUCCUUUGAUCUCUUAACCCCACAAGAGCAAAUUUUUUUAACCCCAUAAGAGCAUUUUUAACCACAUAAUACAUGUCUCUACGGAAUGAACCCCAUACAGAGUGCCUGUACAUAAACCUAAACCUCAUAAUGUAGCUCUCGUCUGCUCAGACGGACAACGCCAAAACUAUAUCCCCCUCCCGAUUCCAUCGGCGGGGGAUAAAAAAAUCCCUACCUACCUACCCAACUCUAAAAAGUAGGGUCGGGAGACAGCAAACAAAGACUUUUUUAAAUGUGGCCUUAUUUGUGUAAAAGCAGUGAAAGCUACAAGAAUUUAAACAAGAGCACCGCUAGGCGGCGCAUUAUUGCCCGAAAAGUGUUUUUUUUUAGUAAGGAUGAAGCAUUUGUAAGGCGUGGGAAUAUUUCAUAUGAAUAUCAUAUUAUGAAUAAUUGUGGAAAACGAAGUAGAGAUAAAAGAUACCAUUCAGAAUGCUCCUUCAAAAAGCAUUCCUCCUUUAUAGCUGAAGAACCUUCAUAUAUAUUAUGAUUAAUAUGAAUAAUUGUGGAAAACUAAGUAGAGAUCAAAGAUACCAUUCAGAAUGCUCCAUCAAAAAGCAAUCCUCCUUUAUAGCUGAAGAACCUUCAUAUAUAUAUAUGAGCACCGUCAUGCAAUUUGGGGUCUUAAUGACAUAAUGCGCAAACGUCAUAAAUGACGUCAAAAGUCAUACCAGAAGAUCAUUGCGAAACUACACAUGUUAAUCUAGAAGUUUUGUUUACGAUUAUUAUCGACAGGUUACACGUAUUUUCUUUGCGUAAAAUGGCCGAAGAGCUAGAGGAACUAGAGAGCCUUUUAUCGGAGCAUUUUGGCAGAACACCGUUGACUACACCCUGUAAUACCCAGGAAGAUGUUAGUAGCGACAGCGGUUCUGACCAAGACAUCAGGGAAAAUAGUAUAGUGGAGAGCCGUGUGCGAGACUUCCUUUACCAGGAUAGAGGUGCAAGAUUAUGUUGAACCAGAUUCUGACCGCAAGCAGGUUGAACUUUAUAAAUCUAGUAAAUGUUGUAGGUUAGCAUGUAGCGGAAAAUUCACUAAAGAUCAAAUAUAUCAGUACCUACUUAAUAUGAAAGAAAUGGAAAAAGAAACAAAGGAAAAAUAACAUUAUGGGUCUGAUAAAUGAUGAAAGAUCUACAGAAAAAACACAACGUGGUAAAAAACGUCAAAGAAUGAGAAGAAAGUAUACGUUACAUGGUACUGAAGUAUGUAAAAAGACAUUUCUACUUUGUCAUGGCAUAGGGAAGAAAACACUAAGUAGCUUAAGUAAGCAAGUUUUUCAGGAAGGUAUUGCUCCACGUAUACAUGGAAAUACUGGCAGAAAACCACAUAAUGCUAUUACCUUUGACGACGUUACAAGAGUAAUACAUUUUAUAAGUAACUUUGCUGAUGAAAGAGGAAUACACCAGCCUGCCGCACCUAGGGGACGAGAUGAUAUUCCACCAAUUUAUUUACCGUCCGAAACAACAAAGGUCCAGAUGCACAAGGAUUACUGUAUUUCUUGUACAUAAGCCGUUCCACAAAUCAAGCACGUCUCGCUUUCUAUGUUUAAAACUCUCUGGUCUACGUGUAUGCCUCACAUCAGAAUAGCAACAUCAAGAGAUGACGUCUGCGCUACGUGUGAGCGAAUGAGAAAGAUGAUAUCAGACGCAGUGUCAGAGGAAGACAAGCUGGAGGCCUUAGCUAACAUGCGACAACACAUUCUUUUAGCUCAAAGGGAGAGGGACACGUACAACACAUGUUUAAGAAGAAGUGCUGAUGAAGAUGAAUACUUUCAUUUUACCUUUGAUUUUUGUCAAAACGUGAGUUUGCCACAUCACGCAAGACAAAUGGGACCGUUGUAUUUUCUUACAUUGCGAAAAGUACAGAUUUUUGGUUUCCGUAUAGACGGUAUCCCUAAGCAACUGAAUUUUUUUAUUGAUGAAAACGAGACAGUAGGAGAGGAUGGAUCCAAAACACAUGGCCCUGAUGCAGUUAUUUCCAUGGUUGAUUGGGCACUACAGGAACAUUGUGUUAGAGCAAGAAAGUUUUCAAUCCAUGCUGAUAAUUGUCCAGGUAAAUUAUACACAUUUCAUUUUGUUUAAAGGCACAUUUAUACAUCGGAAAUCAAUAUUUUAUUUUAAUUCUUUAGAAAAAUAUAAAACGUAUUUAAUAAUUCUAAUUUAUAUAUUUAGAGCAUGUGGAAUGUUGAACAACUGAAAAAAAUAGUGCAAAGUGUACAGUACGUACGUAAUGUGUUGUAAAAGUAAAACAAGAGGGCCAUGAUGGCCCUAUAUCGCUCACCUUAGGAAUAGAUCUUAUAAAGUAUUUUUCUUUUUAAAAAAAAAAACAACAGGUUUAUAAAAUUCUUUAAUGUCAUUUAAAGGUUAGUGUCAAAUGUAAUGUAUUUUUGGCCGACAUUAACAGGAAUGCAAACAUUAAGUGUAUAGAAAUACCUCUUUUUUCUUUUCUUUAAUGUACAGGUUGCUAAAAAAUACACUCCCUGUGGCGUGUUUACAUGUUGAAAAUUUUAACAAUGACAUCAUCAUAAACAAGACGAAGUACAAAUUUGGAUCAUACUUCAAUAAAAAUGGGUCAAAGACAAAAAUGGCCGGGUUGCAUUUGUAUACCAAAUAACAUGACUCCUGAGGCUGUGAUGUUACAAAAAUUUCCUACCAUUGACCAUUCAUAUCGAACAUUUAACUAAGUCGGUAAACAGGAAGAAGAUAAGCGAUUAUAAGACCUGAACUUUGCAGUCACAAUACCAAAUUUCAAGAGGCUGUGAUAUGUAGUUGCUAAGAAAACUGUUACGGAAAUUUUCUUUCAUUUACAAUUAAUGCUGAAAAUUUCACUAGGUCAGAAAAACUGAAAGUGGAUGAGCCACAUACCUGAAAUCAUAUCAAUGUUGUAUACCAAACAUCAAGAGGCUGUAAUAAGUAGUUGCUGAGAAAAUUGUUACAAAAAAUUCAUACCAUUGACCAUUAUUAUGAAUUAAACUAAUGAGAAAAUUGUUACGAAAUAUUCAUACCAUUGACCAUUAUUAUGAAUUUAACUAAGUCAGUAAACAUGAAGUGGAUGAACGACAGACCUUAAAUCGAAUCUCAUGGUAUUGGACAAUGUGUUAAUGCUGCAAACUAAAUAUCAUGAGGCCCUGAUCAGUAGUUGCUGAGAAAACUGUUACGAAAAAUAGCCCAACCAAUUCGCCUGCCUGCCCGGAAUCAAGUCUCAAUACAGGAUGGUAAACAGUAUUUUUUUUUUCAUAUAUGAUUUUUUUUUCGAGAUAUCCCAUUAGUGUUUAAAUAUCAAAAUAUUUUUUGAUAGUGUUUACUCAGGGGUAUCAUGUUGGCCCAAGCAUCUGUGGUUUAUCGUAAUUUAGAACACCCUUUCUAAAAAAAAGAACAACAACAACAAACAGCAGGGAUCUCAGGAAGGACACGCCCGGUGUUUAGUAGAUUCCGGCUUCGCCCACAUCAAGCGAGUAUAUAGACGAACAGAUGUAGAGACGCUUGAACAGCUUGAAAAUGUUGUAAACAAAUCAUCAAAAACAAAUGUUGCUGUCCGUUUUCCACAAUGGGCAUGGAAAAAUUGGAAGUCGUUCUUAGAGGGAAAAUUUAAAGCAGUGAAAGGAAUAAGGUAGUUUACAGAUGCAACAUACAGAAACUGCUUUAAUAAUAAUAAUAAUAAUAAUAAUAAAAAUAAUAAUAAUAAUGAUAAUAAAAAUAACAAGCAAAUUCGUUCAAUUUAUAUCCCCCGCCGAGUACUGGUUAUUAUUAACACAACAACUGAAGACAUAAGGCUUUUUUUAUAUAUUAAUCAUGGCAUAAACAGUAAUAUUCUUUGAACUUGAUAAAUAUUCAGGGAAAUAACAGAGCCAUAACUUUGUGUUAAAUAGUAAAAUCUGGAAAUGCCAAUGAGAUGUAUGCAUACUACAUAACUAAUCAAGGGCCAUAAAUCUGAGUUAUAAGUAUCUGACUGGAACAAGGCGACUAUUCCCUUACGGAGUUCACUUAUAAGUCACUUAUAGGCUAUUUUAUAUGUAGAUUAUACUUCACUUAGUCAAUUCACCUAUAAGUCAAGUAUAUGUAUUUUAAAUGCAAAUUAGAUGUAAGUGCAGUAUAUGUCUGGCAUUUUGACAAAUAAGUGAAGUAUAAGUUAUAUGUAAGUCACAUAUAUGUGACAUGUAAGUCAAAGAUAUGCUCAACUUAUAAGUAACAUAUAAGUGACUUAUAUUUUACAUAUAAGUGACUCAUAUGUUACAUAUAAGUGACUUAAUACAAGUCAC